UACGUAGGGUGCAAGCGUUGUCCGGAAUUAUUGGGCGUAAAGGGAUCGUAGGCGGUCCAUCGCGUCGGGAGUGAAAAGCUGGGGCUCAACCCCAGUCCUGCUUCCGAUACGGGUGGACUAGAGGUAUGCAGGGGAGAACGGAAUUCCUGGUGUAGCGGUGAAAUGCGCAGAUAUCAGGAGGAACACCGGUGGCGAAGGCGGUUCUCUGGGCAUUACCUGACGCUGAGGAGCGAAAGCGUGGGGAGCGAACAGG
rnacentral:rRNA from 1 species